rnacentral:rRNA from 1 species
UACGUAGGGUGCAAGCGUUAAUCGGAAUUACUGGGCGUAAAGCGUGCGCAGGCGGUUUUGUAAGUCUGUCGUGAAAUCCCCGGGCUCAACCUGGGAAUUGCGAUGGAGACUGCAAGGCUGAGAAUCUGGCAGAGGGGGUAGAAUUCCACGUGUAGCAGUGAAAUGCGUAGAGAUGUGGAGGAACGACCGAUGGCGCAAGGCAGCCCCCUGGGUCAAGAUUGACGC